GACGAACGCUGGCGGCGUGCUUAACACAUGCAAGUCGAACGGAAAGGCCCUGCUUUUGUGGGGUGCUCGAGUGGCGAACGGGUGAGUAACACGUGAGUAACCUGCCCUUGACUUUGGGAUAACUUCAGGAAACUGGGGCUAAUACCGGAUAGGAGCUCCUGCUGCAUGGUGGGGGUUGGAAAGUUUCGGCGGUUGGGGAUGGACUCGCGGCUUAUCAGCUUGUUGGUGGGGUAGUGGCUUACCAAGGCUUUGACGGGUAGCCGGCCUGAGAGGGUGACCGGCCACAUUGGGACAGAGGAACGGCCCGGACGCCUACGGGAGGCAGGAGUGGGGAAUAUUGCACAAUGGGCGGAAGCCUGAUGCAGCAACGCCGCGUGCGGGAUGACGGCCUUCGGGUUGUAAACCGCUUUCGCCUGUGACGAAGCGUGAGUGACGGAAAUGGGCAAAGAAGCACCGGCUAACUACGU
rnacentral:rRNA from 1 species